GAGCGAUGAGGAGAAUAAAUGCCAUCGGAUAAAUUAUGUCGAUUUAUACGCUAUUCUGAGCUAUGC